GCCUCGGUGGCUCAGUCAGUUAAGCGUCUGACUUCGACUCAGGUCAUGAUCUCACAGUUCGUGGGUUCGAGCCCCACGUGGGGCU
rnacentral:tRNA from 1 species